CUGACUUCUUGAAGUUAGAAAAUGAUACUUUAUUUGUAACAAAACUAAAAAUGAAAAGAAAUUAAAGGAAUAGAUCACAAGUGAUUUUUUUAUUAAGUGCUUUUGGAAUCAUACAUUAAAAAGAAAACUUGAUUUUGUCAUUGAUAUUUAUUUCAGAGAUAACAAGAUGAGGUCUCUUAAAUGUGAUCUUCUAGAAACCAAAAUACCAAACGGAAAGUAUUAAGAACCCUAGUCCAAGUGAAGAGUAAGGCAAGUCACUAACCGCUGAGGAAUGAUUCCGAGGCUCUAAUGUUUUUGUGCUCAUAUGUCACCUUUUUGUCCUAUUGGACAAGUUGAUUAUCGGCCGUCACCACCUUAACUUUAUACGAGUGAUCUCGAAAGUAUCACCAGUCGCCGUCUUAACUUUAUGAGAUUGACUUUAACUUUAUGCGAGUGAUCUUGAAAGUAACGCCAGUCGCCGCCUUAACUUUAUGAGUGAUUUCGGAAGAAAACCUGUACUGUGAGAUUAAACGUGAAGUAUUUGGGUUUGUUGUGUGGUACUUAGAAUCGAGUGUUGUUCAAUUCAUCUGACCAAAAAAAAAAAAAGUUUGCAAGUGCUACGUUUCAUGGUAAUUUCAAUUCCAGAAAAAGGUUUUCUAACCAUAUGUGAAUGUCACUAUAAAUGCACCUCCUAUUGAUAUUAUGCUUCCCACAAUUUUAGCUUGGGUUGUUCUAGUUUUUACAUCUAUCUUUUCCAUCCUUAAGUUGUGGUAGUAAUAGCAUUGUGAAAAACAAACAAAACACAGAACAAGAAUGGAUAAUAGGGUAAGAUACUAAGAUAGUGAUUCAGAAAGAAAUUAUUAAUUACAUCACUUAUAUAUGUAAUAUUGAUCAUUUAUUCCAACUGUAAUUAAUAAAUACAAAAUAAGAUAACUUUGAUUUGACUUGGACUGAUUUUUAUUAUCUUCUGAGCAUUUUUGUUUUCAUUUUUCUUCUUCUUUGAAACACCUUUGAGCAGCAAAUGAUGAUUGUACAGGUUAGAAUUUU